AGGCGCGUCACUCACACCGUAUCUUAACACCGCUGAAAAGUCAAAUCUCCUACACACAAAAGUAAACACCUCCCACUUUCAAUUUUUCCAUUUUCAGAUCCCGAACCAUGGCGGGUCAAAGAAACGACUACGGCAAACGAUCAAAUUCCCAAUCAGACUACGGCGGAGGUAAACGCCGUAGUAACCCUCCCGACGGAGAAGAAACCGACCACCACCAUCAGCCGCCACAUGCAAUCACCAACGAAGACACAGUCUACCGCUACUUGUGUCCGUUAAAAAAGAUCGGCAGCAUAAUUGGCCGAGGCGGGGAGAUAGCCAAGCAGUUAAGGUCGGAAUCGAAAUCGAACAUGCGAAUAAGCGAAGCUAUGGCGGGGUUCGAUGAGCGCAUUGUGACUGUUUAUAGUAGCAGUGAAGAGAGUAAUUUAUUUGGUGAUAGUGGUGAGUUUGUUUGUCCGGCUCAGGACGCGCUUUUUAUGGUGCAUGAUAGGAUUGUUGCGGAGGAUCUGAAUGCAAAGAAUGAUAAGAAUGAUGAGGAUGAUUUUGAUGAUAAUGAUGAGGCGGCGGCGGCGGCACGAGAGGAGGAUGACGGUGGCAAAGAGGGGCAGGUUGUGGUUACGGUGAAGAUGUUGGUACCCGCUGAUCAGAUAGGGUGUAUUAUUGGGAAAGGUGGACAGGUUAUUCAGAAUAUCAGGAGUGAGACUGGUGCUCAGAUUCGUGUAUUGAAAGAUGAACACUUGCCUCCGUUGGCUUUGCCUACUGAUGAGCUUCUUUUGAUUAUUGGAGAACCUGCUGUUGUGAGAAAGGCACUGUAUCAAGUGGCAACUCGCCUUCAUGAGAACCCAUCACGGUCCCAGCAUUUGCUUUUGUCUUCUUCAGCCAACAUGUAUCAAAGUAGCGGUGGCAUGUUUGUGGCUCCAAAUGCUGGAGGUGCUUCUCUAAUGGGUGUUUAUGGAAAUUACAAAGGUAACUGGUCUUCAUCUUACUACUCUGAUCAGAGAGAUGAAGGUUCUUCUAUGGAGUUUUCUCUUCGUUUGGUAUGUCCUAUUGGAAAUAUUGGAAGUGUGAUUGGAAAAGGUGGUAGCAUCAUCAAACAAAUUCGCCAGGAAUCCAGGGCUUCCAUUAAAGUUGAUAGCUCAGCUGCUGAAGGAGAUGAUUGCAUCAUAUUUAUAUCAGCAAAGGAGCAUCUUGAAGAUCAAUCUGCAACAAUGAUGGCAGCUAUGCGCUUGCAACCACGGUGCAGUGAAAAAUCUGAAAGGGAUUCAGGUGAUUCUGUCAUUACCACACGUCUACUCGUGGCAAGAUCACAGAUUGGAUGUCUUAUGGGAAAAGGAGGGUCUAUAAUUUCUGAGAUGAGGAAUGUGACAAGGGCAAGCAUCCGGAUUCUAUCAGAGGAUAAUCUUCCUAAAGUAGCUUCUGAGGAUGAUGAAAUGGUUCAGAUUACUGGCAGCCAUGAUGUUGCUAGCAAUGCCCUCCUGCAUGUUAUUUUGAGGUUGAAGGCUAAUUUAUUUGGAAGGGAUGGAGCAUUAACUCCAUUUACACCGACUCUUCCAUAUAUACCUGUCUCAAUGGACAUGUUGGAUAGUCCAAAAUAUGGGAACCGGGACAGUCAAUCACGCGGACGUGGAUACUCUUCUGCUGGUGGUUACAGUUCCCGUGAUAUGCCUCCUAGUGACAACCAUGGAAAUAAUGCUAGGUCACUGAGUGGUGGUGAAAGUGGAUAUGGAGCAUACAGUAGCUUCUCUUCUGGUCGUUCUAGUGGUUCAGGUGUCUUUACCAGGUUAUCUGGUCAGACUUCAGCCCAAAGAAAACAUCAUGGAUAUUAGUCCCAUAUACUACAGACCCAACAGUUUGAUUUCUUCAUGGAUAUCAAUUCUCUGAUGCUGCAAAUUUGAGAUAUCUCUGAUACUGUAAAUUGCUUUAACGGGAUGUAUCUUGGUCAUGGCAUGUAUUCAGGUUUGGGAUAAUGGUUUGGGAUUAUAGUGGGGUCUAUAGAUUGCCUGGGAGGUAGUUUGUGCAUAAGUUUCUCUUUGACUUGAUUCACAGAUUGUCAGCUGGGUGAAGAUUAGAUCAGCUCAAACCUCUAAGGGUUUGAUGAGUUAUGGACAUUGGGAGGUAAUCAUUACUAACAUUUAUGAUUUUUGAGUCACAUGUUCCCAUAUGUAACCUAGUGACGUACAAUUUUGAAGUGGAAAUACCGAAAAAGUUUCUGGUUUUGCUUCCGGCCCCGAGACUUGUACGGCUUGGGGUCCAGACCUAUGGAACCUUUGUUAGGUGAUCAUCUAGAUUGACAGGAAGGGGAUGAAAAGGACCCAUGGAACAGAUUGAUAAUUGCUCCUCUACAUGAUCUUCAGUGCAUGAUUAUGUUCAAGUGCUUCUUACCUCGAAUGGAGAUGAAAGUGGAAGUCCUCAUUUUUGUGUAUAUACUACGCUAGCCAGUUGUGUAAGAUUUAUGUUUCCACCCGCCAGUUAACAAAGUGGUUAGGCCAUGGCUGAUGAUUUCUGUUGCAGGCCGAAUUAAUCUGAAGGAUUUUGAUUAUUGGGGUUUCGUCGUUGACCAUAUUAAAGGAUAAACUUUAGAACAUGUUGCGAUGAAGCAAAAGUAAAUGCCAUGUUACAGUUACCAAAGUAGAAAUGAAACAAAUGAACUAAUUUAGGACCUUUGUUCUAAGAGAACUUGGAAGCGUUUAGUACUUAUUAUAAUGAGCAUCUCCUGAAUCAUCGUCCAGUAAUCUCAUGUUUCAGAACACAAUCUUAGUUGGCAACACCAACAGCUCAAUCGACUGAAUCCUCAGGUUGUUGUUUAGACUGCGUACUUGCAGCUUCCAGUGUCUUGUUGUUAUCAUCAUCAUCAGAGGUAUGAUUAUUGCCGCUAUCAACUGCUAAUAAAAAUGAAGGCAACAGAUAAGAUGGAUAAAUUGUGCUGUUCGGAGAUUUUCCAAGCAAACUGCAAGUGUAACAUACCAUCAUCAGCAUGAACAUAAGCCAAGCGCCUUGAACGCAUUUGGUGAUGUGGGGUUGGCUGCAAUACAAGAAAAACACUCUGUUACACCAUAUUGGCUAAUUAUGCAUCAUGUCAUCAACAUAAUUUAUCUGUUUCUAUGUUUUAGUCUUUCGUUUUCAUUUCUAGAAACGCCGAAACGCUAUUUAUAAUCUUCUUACAUAAAAAUAUUGUUCUGCCA